CAGCCGCCGCGGUAAUACGAAGGGUGCAAGCGUUACUCGGAAUUACUGGGCGUAAAGCGUGCGUAGGUGGUGGUUUAAGUCCGUUGUGAAAGCCCUGGGCUCAACCUGGGAAUUGCAGUGGAUACUGGGUCACUAGAGUGUGGUAGAGGAUAGUGGAAUUUCCGGUGUAGCAGUGAAAUGCGUAGAGAUCGGAAGGAACAUCUGUGGCGAAGGCGACUAUCUGGGCCAACACUGACACUGAGGCACGAAAGCGUGGGGAGCAAUCAGGAUUAGAUACCCCCGUAGUCCCUGUCUCUUAUAC
rnacentral:rRNA from 1 species